GUCGGAUCUUUAUUCUUUAAAUCUUUUGCAGUAUUCAUUUAUGGCAAUGGACAGCAGCCACGGGCCAUAUUCAUCCUCUAGGAGUGGUGAUUUGGGAUCAGUUUUCCUUGGCCCAUAGCCUGGCCUUAACCAUUGAUUAGGGCAAAAAAGGCAAAGUGGGCUAGAACUUGAUCCCAGAUCACCACUAGCCUACAGUUAUGAAUUUGGUCCUGGGCGAUCCAGCAGAGCUACCAGGACACUGGGAUCUUUCACCAGCUCUCUGGACUUAUCUGAACUCAUUGAGAAGCAAACAGAAGUCAAGUCGCCACAAAACAGCACAAGAAGCAUUAAACGAUGGAGAAGAUGUAUUCAUUUAUGGCAAUGGACAACAGCCAUGGGCCAUAUUCAUCCUCUAGGAGUGGUGAUUUGGGAUCGGUUUUCCUUGGCCCAUAGCCUGGCCUUAACCAUUGAUUAGGGCAAAGAAGGCAAAGUGGGCUAGAACUUGAUCCCAGAUCACCACUAGCCUACAGUUAUGAAUUUGGUCCUGGGCGAUCCAGCAGAGCUACCAGGACACUGGGAUCUUUCACCAGCUCUCUGGACUUAUCUGAACUCAUUGAGGAGCCAAAAGAAGUCAAGUCGCCACAAAACAGCACAAGAAGCAUUAAACGAUGGAGAAGAUGGGUGCAUGGCAUCGCCACUCCACCACGUGGGACGCUGUCGGACUACGCCUCCCUGGACUUCCUCCAGUUCCUUGUCAUCGCUAAGAUGUCUGAGGCAUUGGGGAUCUGUGGCAUAGUGUGACCACUUGAUUGCAUCUCUGCAGGCAGCAGCCGUUCUCCAUUACCUGUCAGCCUAUCUUUACAGUUGACACCAGGCCAGCCAGCGGAGGAUGGGCUCCCCCUCUACAACCGGGUUCCUCCCGAGAUUUCUUCCCAUUGGGGAGUUUUUUCUCGCCACAGUUUUGAGUGUUUUUCAUUCCACUGGUGAUCUUACUUGCUCAUUGUCUUGGGGGUUCAGGCCUGGUGCCAACUGUCUGUAAA